rnacentral:rRNA from 1 species
AUUGAACGCUGGCGGCAGGCUUAACACAUGCAAGUCGAGCGGAGAUGAGGUGCUUGCACCUUAUCUUAGCGGCGGACGGGUGAGUAAUGCUUAGGAAUCUGCCUAUUAGUGGGGGACAACAUUCCGAAAGGAAUGCUAAUACCGCAUACGCCCUACGGGGGAAAGCAGGGGAUCUUCGGACCUUGCGCUAAUAGAUGAGCCUAAGUCGGAUUAGCUAGUUGGUGGGGUAAAGGCCUACCAAGGCGACGAUCUGUAGCGGGUCUGAGGGGAUGAUCCGCCACACUGGGACUGAGACACGGCCCAGACUCCUACGGGAGGCAGCAGUAGGGAAUAUUGGACAAUGGGCGGAAGCCUGAUCCAGCCAUGCCGCGUGUGUGAAGAAGGCCUUUUGGUUGUAAAGCACUUUAAGCGAGGAGGAGGCUACCUGGAUUAAUACUCUAGGAUAGUGGACGUUACUCGCAGAAUAAGCACCGGCUAACUCUGUGCCAGCCGCCGCAGUAAAAC